rnacentral:rRNA from 1 species
AGUUGGAUCAUGGCUCAGAUUGAACGCUGGCUGUGCCAAGCCUAACACAUGCAAGUCGAGCGGCAGCACAAGUAAGUUUACUUAUGAGGUGGCGAGCGGCGGACGGGUGAGUAAUGCCUAGGGAUCUGCCCAGUCGAGGGGGAUAACAGUUGGAAACGACUGCUAAUACCGCAUACGCCCUACGGGGGAAAGGAGGGGACCUUCGGGCCUUCCGCGAUUGGAUGAACCUAGGUGGGAUUAGCUAGUUGGUGAGGUAAUGGCUCACCAAGGCGACGAUCCCUAGCUGUUCUGAGAGGAUGAUCAGCCACACUGGGACUGAGACACGGCCCAGACUCCUACGGGAGGCAGCAGUGGGGAAUAUUGCACAAUGGGGGAAACCCUGAUGCAGCCAUGCCGCGUGUGUGAAGAAGGCCUUCGGGUUGUAAAGCACUUUCAGUCAGGGAGGAAANGGGUGAGUCUUAAUACGGCUCAUCUGUGACGUUACCUUAACAGGAAGAAGGACCGGCUAACUCCGUGC